AAAUAGAAAGGGUGUUACUGGGAUCCAAAUUUCCCAAGCUGUGACAUUCGUAGCCUUCAAUUUCCCCCAGGCCCCCGCCCCCAUCACUCUGGGUAUAUAUACUGUGCAACUCCAUCCAGCAUCACACACCUCUACAAACCUUUAGCCAGCUCCAACAAACCAAGUCUCGCUCCUCAACAUGAAGCUGACGCUGCUGCUGGUGGCUCUGUGUGCCCUUAUGGGUAUGGCUCUGGCACUGCCCUCACCCUACGCCCUGCCUGAUCCUGACGCGGAUCCUUUCCGUACAUCUUUUCCUAUUACCACCCACAAACAUCACGGUGACCACACCCACCUCACCAGAUACUUCCCUGGCGGCCACCACGACCACUUCACCACAUACCGUGGUCACCAUCACCACUAGUACCAUCACGCGUCAUGGUGCUGGUGACUGACUGUCAUCGUCAGAGUACCAUGAUGGUCAACUCCACCUGGAUUACGGCUGCAGACUUACAACAACUGGCUCACGGCUCAACAUGGUCAUGUUAAGACACUUUUGUUUAUAUAGUUCACGUGUGGGUGAGUGUGUGGUGGUCGCCGGGCAGCGUGGCGACCUACUCCAGUACUGAGUCUCGGGUCUUCAACACCCAAGUCAACUUUGUGUCCUUCUCUUACCAGCCACUACUGCUGCCACCAUCUUCACCUGUUCCAUCAGGGCUGACCCACCUCACACACCUUUCCACCCUGGUAUAUUGUUUUCUAUCUUGGCUAUAAUAGAUAUUCUUGUUUGUUAUCAUUUAUCUACCAAGUUUGAAGGUACACAGUCACAUGUAUAGUCAUACUAUGAACUGUACAGUGAAGCCACAUGUGUCUAAUGGCAGUAUAUAUGUAUGGUGAGUUAUUGUAAGAGUGAGAGUUAAAUAAACACGACCACAAUAUCACUGUA